rnacentral:rRNA from 1 species
AGUGGGGAAUAUUGCACAAUGGGGGAAACCCUGAUGCAGCCAUGCCGCGUGUGUGAAGAAGGCCUUCGGGUUGUAAAGCACUUUCAGUAGGGAGGAAGGUAGUGUAGUUAACACCUGCAUUAUUUGACGUUACCUACAGAAGAAGCACCGGCUAACUCCGUGCCAGCAGCCGCGGUAAUACGGAGGGUGCGAGCGUUAAUCGGAAUUACUGGGCGUAAAGCGCAUGCAGGCGGCCUGUUAAGUCAGAUGUGAAAGCCCGGGGCUUAACCUCGGAAUUGCAUUUGAAACUGGCAGGCUAGAGUCUUGUAGAGGGGGUAGAAUUUCAGGUGUAGCGGUGAAAUGCGUAGAGAUCUGAAGGAAUACCAGUGGCGAAGGCGGCCCCCUGGACAAAGACUGACGCUCAGAUGCGAAAGCGUGGGGAGCAAACAGGAUUAGACACCCUGGUAG